GCACAAGCGGUGGAGCAUGUGGUUUAAUUCGAAGCAACGCGAAGAACCUUACCAAAUCUUGACAUCCUUUGACAACUCUAGAGAUAGAGCCUUCCCCUUCGGGGGACAAAGUGACAGGUGGUGCAUGGUUGUCGUCAGCUCGUGUCGUGAGAUGUUGGGUUAAGUCCCGCAACGAGCGCAACCCUUAAGCUUAGUUGCCAUCAUUAAGUUGGGCACUCUAAGUUGACUGCCGGUGACAAACCGGAGGAAGGUGGGGAUGACGUCAAAUCAUCAUGCCCCUUAUGAUUUGGGCUACACACGUGCUACAAUGGACAAUACAAAGGGCAGCGAAACCGCGAGGUCAAGCAAAUCCCAUAAAGUUGUUCUCAGUUCGGAUUGUAGUCUGCAACUCGACUACAUGAAGCUGGAAUCGCUAGUAAUCGUAGAUCAGCAUGCUACGGUGAAUACGUUCCCGGGUCUUGUACACACCGCCCGUCACACCACGAGAGUUUGUAACACCCGAAGCCGGUGGAGUAACCUUUUAGGAGCUAGCCGUCGAAGGUGGGACAAAUGAUUGGGGUGAAGUCGUAACAAGGUAGCCGUAUCGGAAGGUGCGGCUGGAUCACCUCCUUU
rnacentral:rRNA from 1 species